UAUAGUGUCGAGCAAAUCGGUUCUGAUGGGAAACAGCCAUCAGACGUAAGGGGGAAAGUCCGGUGUGAAUCCGGCGCUGUCCCGCAGCUGUAAGGAGAGACGCAACUCUCUAAGCCAGAAUGCCCACCGGUUGAAAACCCGUUAC
rnacentral:ncRNA from 2 species